UCUCAUGAUCUGUAAAUUCUUUCAUGACAUUUAUUACCACAAACAACAAAUGAUUUUACACAGCUGUAGUUUCUACCUAAGACUCUCGAAGAGCUUCUGCUCCAGCCACAAUCUCCAGCAACUCCCCAGUGAUCUUAGCCUGUCUCGCUCGGUUAUAAGCCAUCGUCAGAUUCUUCUUCAAUUCAACCGCAUUAUCAGUCGCAUUACUCAUCGCAUUCAUCCUCGACGCAAGCUCACUCGCUAAAGAUUCCUGCAGUGCUCUUAGAAUCUGACUGUUGAGAUACAAAGGCAUCAUUGCAUCAAGAAUCUGAACAGGGUCUUGCUCAAACUGCAUCAACGGUGAGAUCUCAGGCUUCUCAACUUCAAGCUUGGUCCUUUCCACAGCUAACUUCCCAUCUUUGCUCGUUAGCCUAAACAUCUCAUCCUCGAUAGCAUCAACACACUCACCUUUCACAUCACAAGACUCUCCUUUCAUCGACAAAGGCAACAGAGUGUGGAUCACAGGAUCAGAUUUCACCAAAGACACAAACUUUGUGUAAACAAGCUCAACUUUAUCAACCUCUUCACUGACAAACAAGGAAAACACAUCAUCUGCAAUAACUUGAGCUUCUUUAGUCGUUGGGAAAACACCUCCUCCUUCAAUACAUUUAUCAACAUCAAAUUCAUCUCUCCGACUAAAAUAAGCAUUCCCUUUCUUACCUACACUUAUCACAACACAGUCUAUUCCUCUCUGCUUCAACUCUUGAACUCGCAGAGUAGCUUUCUUGGUCACUGCAUUGUUGAAACCACCACACAAUCCUUUAUCGCCAGUAACAACAACCAAAGCAACUCUCUUCACGGGUCUAACAAUGCUCAGAGGAAAAUCAAUGUCUUCUAAUUGAGCAGAUUGGUUAAUUGAGUAGAGAAUCUCCACAAGAGUUUCAGUGAAAGGUCUACCCUUUAUGACUGCAUCUUGAGCUCGACGAACUCUAGCUGCCGCCACGAGUCUCAUCGCUUCCGUUAUCUUCUGGGUAUUCUUCACACUGUCGAUUCGUUCUCGUAACUCUCGGAUUCCAGCUCGAAUUUGAAUUGAGGGCAACGGAGAUCUCGACGAAAUCCGGUUUGGUGUCAGUGAUUGAAACGGAUAAUAACGAACUGGUUUCAAGGUAGCUAUGAAAGAGUAGGACUCUGAGCUCGAAGCCGAAUUCGAAUUCGAAGGAGACGACAAGAGCCAAGAGGUCGAGAUCGAACCUGUCAUUUUCGUUUGGGAAAGAAGACCCUGAACUUGAGAGGUUUAAGAUUUCAUCUUCUCGUGAAGAAAU